CCUACGGGAGGCAGCAGUGAGGAAUAUUGGUCAAUGGACGAGAGUCUGAACCAGCCAAGUAGCGUGAAGGAUGACUGCCCUAUGGGUUGUAAACUUCUUUUAUAUGGGAAUAAAAUGUUCCACGUGUGGGAUGUUGUCUGUACCAUACGAAUAAGGAUCGGCUAACUCCGUGCCAGCAGCCGCGGUAAUACGGAGGAUCCGAGCGUUUACCGGAUUUAUUGGGUUUAAAGGGAGCGUAGGUGGAUUGUUAAGUCAGUCGUGAAAGUUGGCGGCUCAACCGUCAAAUUGCAGUUGAAUCUGGCAGUCUUGAGUGCAGUAGAGGUGGGCGGAAUUCGUGGUGUAGCGGUGAAAUGCUUAGAUAUCACGAAGAACUCCGAUUGCGAAGGCGGCUCACUGGACUGCAACUGACACUGAGGCUCGAAAGUGUGGGUAUCAAACAGGAUUAGAUACCCCAGUAGUC
rnacentral:rRNA from 1 species